rnacentral:lncRNA from 1 species
CUCUAGACCUGCAGGUGAGGACUGUCGCCCCAGACUUUAGUGAACUUCUCAAGAAGCGGGUAAUAGAGACGGGUCUAAAGAAAGAAGUUUGCCCAGAGAAAACCCAGGAGAUCCUCUUGACCCAACAGAAACAAGAUACUGAGCUGGUGGAUAUGACUAUAUCAGCCCAUCCACCCCUACCUCCACGUCCAUCCUCAGGUGAAGCUGGAGAACCAAAACCUCAUGCCAUCAUAGGGGAGGGGCAUGAGAACAAAGCUCCACCCCCAACACCAAGCGCUGUAAAAGUGACCGCAGCCAACACAGCACCAACUCCUGCAGCCCCUGAAACAGCAAUUACAGCCCAUCAGCAAGAAGAUGAUACCAUCUCAACCAACCAUGUCACAGCUUAUACCAGUCACACAACUGAAGACGUGGACGAGAGCAUGACAAGUUUCACAGCUAAUGGACUGACUGUCAUAGCUGGUGAGGAAUACUUGACCAUCACCACCACAGCGUCCUCUCCUCCAAGCUGCAGCAUUGCUGUCUCCAAUGAACCGCCCCCUCCACCGGCCCUUUCUCCAUCACUGCUAAGCACACCUCCAUCCUACCAACAAGCAACUCAAGCGUCAUCCCCAACAAAACUUCAUGCGCAGUUCACCACCCCUUCAGCCAGCAACAACAAUGGCUGGGACGAUGAUGAAGAAGAGGAGGAUGAGGAAGAUCCCAGAAGGGACAUAUUGAAGGAGUUUGAACUGACUGUCUCAUUGACCAAAUCAUGGUGUGGCAGUUUCGGUUUUACAAUAACCAGGAGUAAACUGGACAACUGCUUUUACGUCCAGGAGGUCCUGGAUAAUCCGGCCAAAGCAGAUGGCAGACUGAGGGCAGGAGACAGGCUUGUCAUGGUACAGCUUUUCCCACCAUUAGAAACAUAAUCACAGUUAUG